GGAUCAUUAUAGAGAUCCUGCCCUCACGGGUAGACCUCCAACCCUAUGUAUUUAUACCUCGUUGCUUCGGCAGGUCGUCUAGGCUCCGGCCUGGCCAUGGGCUCCGGCUCGUGCGUGCCUGCCAGAAGACAUUCAAACUCUUGAUAUAAUUGUCGUCUGAGUAAAAACAUAAUAAGUUAAAACUUUCAACAACGGAUCUCUUGGUUCUGGCAUCGAUGAAGAACGCAGCGAAAUGCGAUAAGUAAUGUGAAUUGCAGAAUUCAGUGAAUCAUCGAAUCUUUGAACGCACAUUGCGCCCUUUGGUAUUCCGAAGGGCAUGCCUGUUCGAGCGUCAUUGCAACCCUCAAGCUCUGCUUGGUAUUGGGCCCCGUCUACUGCUGACGGGCCCUAAAAUCAGUGGCGGUGCCAUUAGGCUCUACGCGUAGUAAUCUAUCUCGCUAUGGAGGCCUGCUGGACACCUGCCAAUAACCCCAAAUUUUUUAAGGUUGACCUC
rnacentral:rRNA from 1 species